rnacentral:rRNA from 1 species
GAGGCCUGCCUGCCCAGUGACAAACGUUCAACGGCCGCGGUAUCCUGACCGUGCAAAGGUAGCAUAAUCACUUGUUCCUUAAUUGGGGACUGGAAUGAAUGGCCUCACGAGGAUUCAACUGUCUCUUACCUCUAAUCAGUGAAAUUGACCUCCCCGUGAAGAGGCGGGGAUACAACAACAAGACGAGAAGACCCUAUGGAGCUUUAAUUUUCUGUCUUAACUACUAAAUAACUAACCCUACUGGGACAAAAAAAAAGAGAAAUAAGUCAGUAAUUUCGGUUGGGGUGACCUCGGAGAAUAAGACAACCUCCGAAUGAUUUUAACCAAGACAAACAAGUCAAAGUAUUAAAAAUCAAAUUGACCCAAUUCAUUUGAUCAACGGACCAAGUUACCCUAGGGAUAACAGCGCAAUCCUAUUCAAGAGUCCAUAUCGACAAUUAGGGUUUACGACCUCGAUGUUGGAUCAGGACAUCCCAAUGGUGCAGCAGCUAUUAAUGGUUCGUUUGUUCAACGAUUAAAGUCCUACGUGAUCUG